rnacentral:lncRNA from 12 species
CUUGCUUUGUUCACUUAGUAGUGUGGGUUUACAAACUUUAAGAAGAUGAUAAUAUAAAAGGUUUAAAUAAAUUACUUGUGGAUAAUGCACUAAGUAGUCCAUAGAGUAAGGGAAUGUAGCGAUACGAAAAAACAAAAACAAAAAUGCAAACAAUCAACCAACCUGAAAAUACUAAAAAUGAGCUUAUUGUUUGGGAAAAUAGAUGCCUGAACUCUAAAUCUUUAUAAAUAAUUCAUGCCCCUUAUGAGACUUUUCUGUUGAUGCUUUUUUAAGAUUUUUAAUUCUCAUUGAAAAAAUGAACUCACUGUGUUAUUAAACCACAAAAAAUCUUAGAUAGAAGGAAAUUAGCCUAUAGGCAGUGUGGUUGAGCAGCUGGUAAUGAGGGUCAGGGGGUAAAACACUGACCUGGAAGGUAGCAUGCCUUUGGUAAAUGGUUUUAGGUUCUAAGUCUGUUCCCCUAACUUGCUGUGCCCUUUUCUAGGCAUGUGAUUGGAGUCUUAGGAACACACAAACUCUCAAAAGCAAAGUCAUGGGAUGUGGUUGCCAGAAAGAUUGACAGUAUUAUCCUGAAGACUUGGAGUAAUAAUGAGUUUGUCUAUGGAUGGACUGAGAUUCUUAUACAAAGACUGGGUGGAAAAAUAAGGGUUUGUUCUUCAUCACACGAGUUCCUGCCAGAUACCUCGGCUGUGUUGAUGAUGUAACUUCAGAGGCCUGGAUGCUGCUCAGGAAGUUUCUGAUAGCAUCCUAUCAGAGUCUGGGCCAACACGAGGCCACCUCAACUUUUCCUUUUAUACACCCAACCCCUUAGCUUUAGCAAAACCAAGCUCCCUGCCAACUUGGAAUUGAGGUCAUGAGGAACAUCACAGAACAGCAGCUCUGAUGUGACAUCAACACUGCCCUCCAGGAGCAUUAAGCAAAAUGUAGGUGCUGAGGAGAAUUAAUAAA